UGUAGUUGGAGCAGGAUUGCACCAGAGUUAACUCUAUCUCUUUGGGAUUGGGAUUCCAGAUGGCUACAAGCAAUGUCCAGAUGGCUGGGUAAAGUUCCAAAGGAUCUGCUAUCUCUUUUCCGACCAGCUUAAAUCUUGGCAGGGGGCCAACCACACGUGUAUCUCACAUAACGGCACUCUCGCCAUUGUUAAAAGCCACACUGAACAGGAAUUCCUGAUGAAACAUUAUCGCCUGAGCCGUUGGAUUGGACUGGCUAACCUCACUGACAACUUUAAUCAGUUCCAAUGGGUCAAUGGCUAUCCUUUGGUGACCAGUUACUGGUCCCUGGGUGAACCGGAUAAUUCCAUGGGUAAGCGGUGCGUGCGGAUGACCGUGGACGGACAUUGGAGGUCUGAACAGUGUGCCCGACACUACGCCUAUAUCUGCCAAGUCCAUUCCAUUGACUACAUUGCCCGGCAGCUACACCUGUC